AACGCACAUUGCGCCCUCUGGUAUUCCGGGGGGCAUGCCUGUUCGAGCGUCAUUACAACCCUCAAACAUUCAUUUGUUUGGUCUUGGGCAUCGUCCACCGGACGUGCCUCAAAAGCAGUGGCGAUGUUGCCUGGCUUCAAGCGUAGUAAACUUACUCUUCGCUUUGGAUUCCCAGGUGGAUGUCUGCUAACCCAACAUAAUUUUUUUAAGGUUGACCUCGGAUCAGGUAGGGAUACCCGCUGAACUUAA
rnacentral:misc_RNA from 1 species